CCACGUGGGACACCUCAGCACUGAGGUGCAGCACUCAGCCCAGAGAUCCCCUUUGUCUGCAGGAUAGGGACGCAACCUCCAGCAGCCUCGCGUGGCCCCAGAGUUCCGGCAAGGGUCACGCAGGCAGGUGCUUCCCUCGGAUCUGAGGACCGCCACAGCUGUGCCACCAGCGCCCGCGUCUCUACUCUGGCCAAGAUCAGGCCUUAAGGCCCAAGCUUUGCUCCCAAAAAGACGUAGCUUUGACCUAAUUUUACACCUUGUCCGAGAACUGGGGAAUUUAAGGAGUUUCUGUACCUGGGAAGUCGAACCUAAAACUUUGUUUUUUUUUUUGUUUUUUUUUUUUAAGAUUUAUUUAUAUUUACUUAUUAUUAUAUGUAAGUACACUGUAGCUGUCUUCAGACACACCAGAAGAGGGAGUCAGAUCUCGUUACGGAUGGUUGUGAGCCACCAUGUGGUUGCCGGGAUUUGAACUCAGGACCUUCAGAAGAGCAGUCGGGUGCUCUUACCUGUUGAGCCAUCUCACCAGCCCGAACCUAAAACUUUGAAACACUGUUGAACGAAUUUGGAAGGUGUUAAGGAAUAAACAACUGAUUUUAAAAGCUACGGUUUGGAAAAGCUACGAAGAGCAAACACAAUCAGUAUGCUUUUCAAAUUAGCUCCAGACACAAUCACCUUCCAGAACCAAGUGUACACUGCCAGAGGCACAGGGGAAGCGGGUAGCCUCUGAAACACUAACGGGUUACCAUGCUUGCUUGAUUAGUAUUUCUCCUUUUAAAGUAUGUUCUCAGCCUGAGUAUAUUUUAACGAUGUGUUUGUGUGUGUGUGUGUGUGUGUGUGUGUGUGUGUGUGUGUAUUGCACCACAUGCAUACUUGAUGUCUACAGAGGUCAGAAAGGCUGUUGGAUUCCCCUGGAACUGCAUUUGGAAACAGAUGUGAUCUGCGUGUGGGAGAGAAAGCCAAGCCCUGGUGCUCUGGAACCAAUGCUCCUGCGGGCAAUGCUCUUGCUCCCUGAGCCAUCUCUAAAGACGAACAUACACCCACCUUUUCAAGGAUGUCUGCUUUUCGGCAGAUUGGUCCACGCCCCUCCUGUGCCCAUGAGCUUCCAGAGCUGUGAGGUCUCCCCCACCCACAUUGGGAUCCACCUGUUCCAGACUUCACUUUAUCCUUCUUUGCCUGGAUACCCUGAGGGAAGAAGUGAAAAAUGGAACAACAGAUAAGGAAACAGAAGCAGCAGCUCAGAUAACUUACUUGAGGUGAGUUUCUCUGGGCCUAAGAAGACAAUGGCUGUGUACCAAUUCCCCACUGUCAGAC
rnacentral:lncRNA from 1 species